CAUAUUUGAGAGGAAUCUGCCCAAUACACAAUGUCUACUUUUGGAGAGGAAGAGGCGGAAGAAGGAGAAGCAUAUGAAGAUUUUGAAGAAGCCCCAAGUGAACCACUUGUACCUGAACAAGAUCCUAAAGGCGCACAAGAAUCCACUCCAGUAAGCUGCUGCUGUCUUCUGUGGAGUGUCAUCUGGUUGGCUGUAUUGGUUGCUUUUGCCUGGCCUUUGAGUGUGGCUAUGGCAGCCCUUUAUGGAUUUGUGGCACCUCUGAUUACCCUCAUAGGCCUGGAUGAUAUCAGUGAUUCUAUGUUGCAAGCAGUAAAUUUGGGAAGACAGUGUGCACGCAACGUCAGAGCUGGCAGGCCCAUGGUUUGAAGAAAAGUCCUCACAGCACUUACUAUUCCAUGCCUUCUCCAGUCUGCUUCCUUCCCAUGAAUUUACUGCUAGUGUUCACCUGUGUCUUUACCUCUAAUAUUAAAAAACACUUAUUUCAAUAUAAAACUGGCUCCAUGACAUUUAUACCUGAUCUUAUAUUCAAUCCACACAUGUAGAAAUAUAAUAAAUCUGUACCACUUAAAUUCUAGGAGCCUACUGAAAGAUGUGUACUGAGUAUUGGGAGGAAGGGAAUGAUUUUUCUAACUAGCUGUUGAUGUUGCUCUUAUCCAAGUUCAUAGUGGAAUUGUGUGUGCAUAGAGUAUGUGCAUGCAUGAGAAAACAGUUUUCGACUUACAUUGCAUUAUUUAUCUUCUUGUGUUCUGCAACCAUAAACUGUAUUCCUUUCUUUUGAAUCUCUCUUGAUGACAGUAAGACAAAAAGGAUAUUUGUGUGUUUGAUUUGAUUUUAGUUCAGAUGGCAAUCAGGGGAUGUGGUUGAUUCCAGCUCAGUUUGGUACUGAAUCUGCUCCUAGUUUUCAUGCAAACUUUAAAACCACUAUUCUCUAAAAUAUAUCCAGCUACUUGAAUAGCUUUUAUAAAGUUUGGAUUAAAGCUUGACAUGGAACCUAGUACCCCCCCUCGUGGCAAACUUUGUGUAUGUAUAAAGCAGAGAGGAAAACAUGAUGUAUUUUCUUUAGAUAUAGCUUUGAGGGAUGAUUCCCCCUGACAUGAGCAUCAAUCUUCUACUCAAGAAACAAAACGGCUUUCUUGAGAUGAAAGUGAACUCCAUUCUAACAAGUUUUUUCCAAAGGAGGGAUCAUUCCUUCUGGCAUGAUUCAUAGGACUUGUCUGCAAGGGCGAACUGUCAUUGAGGAGAAAGCUGAAUUCCUUGGGAUUUAUGCGAACUGUAACAGACACUGUGAAAAGACUUAGACCUGUUUCUGAUCCCAGAUUAUCUGUUUUGAACUGGAUUCAUAUAAUCCAGUUCAAAACAGAUAAUCUGGGGUCAGAUACUGGAUUAUGUGACAGUGUAGAUCCAGCCUCAGCUGCUAUAAACGGGAGAGUAAUCUAUUAUUAACGAGUUUUCAUUUCAAAGGAAGUCGAUGAGCGAUGCCAACUGUUAGUGUUUGGGUGGUGAUUGUAUUUCAGUAUGUUCCAGGGGUCCCUUUUCUGGUCACUUGGGGAAGGAUGGCUUUCCCUUCCCCUAUAUUUCAUAUAAUUAUUUCUCAUUGUGAUGUGAGGGGAUUUCAUAUAAUGCCUCAAUGAGGAAACACCACGUGAAGGAAGUUCCAUUGAUUAUCUCUGCAAUCUUUUGCCAUCUUGCCCCAAGUACUGAACUUUCAACUUUCAUUGGUAGGAGUCCGAUGUGCAUAUUGGAGAACAACCAUAGAGCCCAUGUGUGAGAGAAAUGACACUGAUUGGACUAGAUUCCCUUGUGUGAAACAUUUUUAUGAGUACAGAUAAAACUCCUUCCAUGAUAACACUGAACAUGCUAUUGCCACAGGAGCAUGGAGGUACAGUGUCAUAACAGGGACAGAUGUUAUCCAUGCAGUCAUGAAACCCUCUUUGUGUAUCUUGAUAUAGAAGAGGCCAUGUGGAUAACUGAUGGAAUUUAGCUGCUUUGAGUCUCCUGGAAUAUUAUUAUAAUAUAAUUAUUAUUAAUAAUAUUAGUACUUAUGCAGGAUAAUGCCGGUUAUCUAUUUUACCCUUAGUCAAUGCAAGAGUAUUGCAAUCCAUGGCAGAUGCCCAUCCAGCUUCUGCUUAAACAUUUCCAGUGAAAAAAUGCUCAUCAAUAAUCCCAAAUAGUUUGUAGCAGAGUAGUUUCUGGUUAUUGGUGGCUGUCAAGCCUAACCACCUUAUAGGAUUGUUGUGAGGAUAAAAUGGUUAGAGGAGAGAAUUAUUUGCAUCAGCCUCGGGUCCCUGAGAGGAAGGGGAAAUUGGGGAGGGGAGGCAAAAAGCAAAACAAUAUCUCUAAACUGUAAAACCAAAAUCCAUCAAAACUUUACUUUUGUAUUAUGUUCUGUAAAUGGAUACUUGCUUUGACUGCCUGUUAAAUAAUGUACAUGCAUAUUAAUAAAAUAUAUUUGCACAUUACAUACUUUAAAUGCUUCUGACUGAAAUCUUUUUGUUUCUUUAUGUUAGCGCACAAGAACCAACUUCAAUAGGCUGCUGCUGUCUUCUGUGGAGUCUCAUCUGGUUGGCUAUAUUGGCUGUUUUUGCUUGGCCCUUCAGUGUGGCUAUGGCAACCCUUUACGGAUUUGUGGCACCCCUGAUUACCCUCAUAGGCCUGGAUGAUAUGAGUGAACCUAUGUUGCAAGCAGUAAAUGUGGGAAGACAGUGUGCACGCAACGUCAGAACUGGCAGCCCUAUGAUCUGAAGAAAGGGUCUCAAAGACUUUAGAGUUCCAUGCCUUUUUUCCUGAUUUUGUGUGUAUUUAUACCUAACAUCACCUGUAGCUUUUUUUUCAGUAUUUCAUUAAAAAUAUUUAUUUCAAUAGCAAAGUAGUAGUAUGAUGUUACUUUAUUCAUUGUUCAUAAAGUCCAUAAAGUGCUUUAGUGACUCAGAUUCACACAAGCACACAUCAAGUGAGCCGGUGGUUUAUGUGCUGCUGAUGCAAUUAACCAACUUGCCUUAAUCGUUCUUGUUGCCACUGUUGUGUCAUUUCUGAAUUGUAGGGCCCUCAGGCAACCCUAUUAUGGGAGAGAAUGACCUGCCCAAGGUCCAGUUCAUUUCCAUGACUAACCGGGUAUUCAAACCCUGAUCUCUACCUUCUUUAAUUAAGAAAUGCAACAAUAUAUAAUUAAAUAUCAGAGACGGGAUCGUCUACAUCAUAGUAUUUUUGAAUUUUAUUGGGUUGUAAAAGCUGAACAGUGAUGAAAGCUACAGGAAGAAUAUCUACUUACUUAUUUGAAAUGCACAGAAGAUAAUUCUGCAGAUAUCACAGAUAGCCAAAAAGAAAAAUGAAGAGUCCUACAGGAAAUCAUGUCUGAAGUCAAAACGAACUUGACAGUAAAUAAAACCAACAGCAAAAUUAGGUCAAGAAGCAAGGGUUCAGAUCCCAAAAACAGUCUUCCACAAAAUCAUCAAAGUUGUCAAUCUUGUGAAUUACAUUGCAGUAUUCAAUUUCAAUAGAAAUGUAUGUCAAUGGUAUUGAAACUUAUCCCAAGAGUUUGGUUAUGCUCCUAUGUCAUUUUCUGAUCUCAUUUGUAAGAAGUUUUCAGUGCUGCAGUCUAGAUACUGGAGGUUAUUCCAUAAGAAACAAAGCACCAGUUAUGACAAAGAAACCAGCUAGACACCCAACAAAUAAUCCGCCAUCUCAAGUGUUAGUAAAAAUUGUUGGUUUUGUUGUUGUGUGCUUUCACAUGAGAUCUCCGACAGCUAGAUAAGUUGAAGAAGUAUCUCUUCCAGCAGGCCUACUCAGUCAAUUUUAAACUGUGAUUUUUAAUCUGCACUUUAUUAACAGAUUUUAACUUGUAUUUUAACUCUGUAUUUUGUUGUGUGUCUUUUAAUAGUGCUUUAUCUCUUGCUUCAAUGAUGUAUCCCACUUUGAGCUGCAGGGAGAGGUGGGUAUUAUUAUUAUUAUUAUUAUUAUUAUUAUUAUUAUUAUUAUUAUUAUUAUUACCAACCUCAUAUUAUUAAUCCAUUAAUGGAAUGCUGAAAAUUACAUGAUUAAUUAAUUGAUUAAUUGCUGCCCCAAACCAGAAAUAAUGGCCUGAUGGCAAAGGGGAAAACUGGAGAUGAGGAAUAAUAUUCAGAAUUAAAUAACUCACCCACACCACUCAUUCAUUCAUUCAUAUUACAUAUCUGUUUUACUACCUCUCACCAUACCUGCUGCAUGUAGAAAGGACUUCAUUCAGCUGGAAACCUUCAACUGUAGAGUUCAUUCAGUAUGGUAGCUCUCAAAUUCCAGACUGGAUGGAGAACCUACACAGGACCCAGGGCUGUAGCCAAGGCGGAGGUUAGGGGUUCAAUCCCCCCCCUCCCUGAAAUUAUUCAGGUUUUUUUUUAAACUUGGUUUACUCCUGAAUUUUAACUGGUUAACCAAAUCCCCAUGAGUGUCCACUGAAGUUGAUCUGUCUUUAGUGUCCACUGAAGUUUAUCAAUGGAACGUGACUUCUAAAUUAUUUUACAUUAUGGAACUACUCUUCAUGAUUUGCUAAAAAAAACCCUGCAUUAUAUGGUCACUGUAGACUCAUACAAUGCAGUUGAACUGUAUUGAAUUGUAUUGUAUAAGUCGACAGUGACUAUAUGCUUCAGUUUCAAACUAUGUUAUAUGGCCGUGUAGCUGACAACGUGAGAUGUUUGUGAGGACUGAGCGCCUUUCUUUGCCAUGGACUGCUCCUGCUUGUGGCCCUCAGUCUUAAAAAACACACAGCUCUGGUGUACUUGCAAAUCAUACUAGAUGUGGUGCCCUAUCUAACUUGAGCUUUGCAUAUCUCUCUUUCAAAGAGAUUGGAAGAAGCAUCUCCUGUCACAGACCAGUAGCAUGCAUACGAAGGUGAAAUACCAUGAAAAAGACUAGUGUUAUUUUAUACUGGGAAAGUGAUGCACUAAUUUUGUUCUCUUGUACUGAAACACAGAUGCCCACAAGUGCCACUUAAAGAGAAAUUCUUAUGCUUUCUCUUGAGUGCAGACAUGUCAGAGCAGUUGGUUUGAAUAUGUAUGUCAUCAAGUUUUCCAUCCUUGUCAUGGAAAAGAAAAUUUGCUUCUAG
rnacentral:lncRNA from 1 species